rnacentral:rRNA from 1 species
UACGUAGGGGGCAAGCGUUGUCCGGAUUUAUUGGGCGUAAAGGGCGCGUAGGCGGCUUUGCAAGUGACGGGUGAAAUCCCUCGGCUUAACCGAGGAACUGCCUGUCAAACUGCAUGGCUUGAGACCGGGAGAGGUGAGUGGAAUUCCCAGUGUAGCGGUGAAAUGCGUAGAUAUCUGGAGGAACACCGGUGGCGAAGGCGGCAUCCUGGACCAACACUGACGCUGAGGAGCGAAAGCCAGGGGAGCAAACGGG